CCUACGGGAGGCAGCAGUGAGGAAUAUUGGUCAAUGGACGAGAGUCUGAACCAGCCAAGUAGCGUGAAGGAUGACUGCCCUAUGGGUUGUAAACUUCUUUUAUAUGGGAAUAAAACGUGCCACGCGUGGGAUGUUGUAUGUACCAUAUGAAUAAGGAUCGGCUAACUCCGUGCCAGCAGCCGCGGUAAUACGGAGGAUCCGAGCGUUAUCCGGAUUUAUUGGGUUUAAAGGGAUCUUAGGUUGAUUGUUAAGUCAGUUGUUAAAGUUUGCGGUUUAACCGUAAAAUUGCAGUUGAAACUGGCAGUCUUGAGUACAGUAGAGGUGGGCGGAAUUCGUGGUGUAGCGGUGAAAUGCUUAGAUAUCACGAAGAACUCCGAUUGCGAAGGCAGCUCACUGGACUGCAACUGACACUGAGGCUCGAAAGUGUGGGUAUCAAACAGGAUUAGAUACCCGGGUAGUC
rnacentral:rRNA from 1 species